UACAGAGGGUGCGAGCGUUAAUCGGAAUUACUGGGCGUAAAGGGCGCGUAGGCGGCCUUCUAAGUCAGACGUGAAAUCCCCAGGCUUAACUUGGGAACUGCGUCUGAUACUGGGAGGCUUGAGUGCGGGAGAGGGGUGUGGAAUUCCAGGUGUAGCGGUGAAAUGCGUAGAUAUCUGGAGGAACACCGGUGGCGAAGGCGGCAUCCUGGACCGACACUGACGCUGAGGCGCGAAAGCGUGGGUAGCAAACAGG
rnacentral:rRNA from 1 species